rnacentral:rRNA from 1 species
AUUGAACGCUGGCGGAAUGCUUUACACAUGCAAGUCGAACGGCAGCACGGGGGCAACCCUGGUGGCGAGUGGCGAACGGGUGGGUAACACAUCGGAACGUGCCCAGUCGUGGGGGAUAACGUAGCGAAAGCUACGCUAAUACCGCAUACGAACUCUGGUUGAAAGCGGGGGACUCGCAAGGGCCUCGCGCGAUUGGAGCGGCCGAUGGCAGAUUAGGUAGUUGGUGGGGUAAAGGCUCACCAAGCCGACGAUCUGUAGCUGGUCUGAGGGGACGACCAGCCACACUGGGACUGAGACACGGCCCAGACUCCUACGGGAGGCAGCGGUGGGGAAUUUGGACAAUGGGCGCAAGCCUGAUCCAGCCAUUCCGCGUGCAGGAUGAAGGCCCUCGGGUUGUAAACUGCUUUUGUACGGAACGAAACGCGCUGAGUUAAUACCUCGGCGUAAUGACGGUACCGUAAGAUAAGCACCGGCUAACUACGUGCCAGCAG